CUGCAGACUCCAGCGCCAUUUUCAGAGCUAUAAGUGUGAAGUGAUGAUAGCUCUUUCAAUGGUACUGCAGUAAGCAU
rnacentral:pre_miRNA from 12 species